AAUAAUAAUAAUUAUUUGAACGACUAAUGAGAUUCAGAAUUUUUCACAUCAUAAUAAAUGUGUAGGAAAAAAAUGUGUAUUAUUUUCAAGAAACAAUCCCUAAAUGCAGUCCCUAACAUUAGACCCUGUUUAAUAUCAUUAGUUCUGAUUGUGAGGUGGAAUCUGUGUUUUCUGGACGACUGAGCUGUGUUUGAGUCUGUACUGAAGAUCUGCUGUAUAGACCACAAUCCUCGGUUCAUGACUUGAAUUUGAAGUUGUAGAGAGUGUUAUGAGAGUUUCUCCGUGUGCUGUUGUGUAGGAAUAGGACGCUUUGUUUUCCUCGACACAAGUGCAGUAUUGAGAGGAAAGCACACGAUGGAGACGCUGAAGAUGUUUGUGACUCGUAUGAACUCGUGUUAUUGAUCUCAAUAAAGCAGUGCUUUGGAUCCUC